ensembl:lncRNA
AUUAUGAACUUAUGGGCUUCCCUGGUGGCUCAGUCUGUAAAGAAUCUGUUGCAAUGCAGGAGAUGCCGGUUUGAUCCCUCGGUUGUGAAGAUCCCCUGGAGAAGGUAGUGGCAAACCCACGUCAGUAUUCUCCCAUAGAUGGAGGAGCCUGGCGGGCUACAGUCCACGGGCUCACAAACAGCCACAACUUGGCGACUAGAGCACCGCCAGCAAGAACCUAUAGAUUAAAACAUAUUUGAUUGAUUUGAAUCCCUUGCCAUUGUUAUCAUAAUUAAAGCUCACAUGGGCCAGUGGGAGUCGCUUCAAACUGGUUUCUUUUUGACAUCCUGCUAGUCUUCAAGCACUUCCUGCUAGCUGCUGCAUCAAGGUAGUCCAGUCUUCUUUUGUCCUUUAAACCUUCCUGCUCUAGACUUGAAACCAGGCAUUUUUCCAAGAAGCCCUGACUUUAAAAAAGUUUCUUCUUUCUUUUUUAAAAAUAUUUAUUUCUUUGGCUGUGUUGGGUCUUAGUUGCGGCACUUGGGAUUUUCCUCAUGUCAGGCAGGGUCUUUGGUCAUGGUGGAUGAGUACUCUGCUGGCAGUGCUGGGCUCCAGCCCAUGUGGGCUUAGCUGCUCAACCAGGGAUCAAACCCACAUCCCCUGCGCUGCAAGAAGAAGUCUUAACUACUGGGCCAAUAAGGAAUUCCCCUUUUCCUCUUUCUUUUUUUUUAAAUAAAAUUUCCCGACUUCUUUUCAUAGGAAAUGUUAUUUCAAAACCACAGUUUGGGUUCUGGGGUGCUCAUUGCUGUAGAGUUGAUCAUUGUGUCUUGCUUUCUGGCGGCCAGAACUAGCAAAUGUAUAGAAUCCCUUGUGAGCUCCUCUGGUAUGAGCAAAGAAAGCUGGCGUGCGGGACCUGAGAGGCAAUCAAUUCAUCACUGGCACAACUAAGGUUUUCUGGCCCUUCCCUUUGCUUCAUUUCUGCAGCUCCAUUUCAUUCACAGUCAGCAGUUUCUCCCUGGGACAGGGAGCCUUGGAGGGGCUCUUUCAGGAGUUUAUAGCAGCUGGAUGGCUCAGCCCCUCCAAGCCCCUUGCUCUGAGACACACCCCAGUGUCACCUGCUCUUCCCAAACUGGCCACCAUGCUUUACCAGAAAUAUCUGUUGCUUAUUUUGGGGUGUUCCUGUUCUCAGGUCACCAGAUGCAGCCCCCCGCCCCUGCCCGCCUUGAUCUUGUUCUGCUUCUGCCCUCGCAGAUGCAAGUCUUGCAGCUCUCCCUGCGUUGUCUCCACCCUUGUAUUUUAAGCUUCAUGGAGACAGCUUAUCACCCAAUGUGUUGUUAACCUUGCCUCUGGUUUUGGGCCACAGGUCAUUCGCUCAGCUGGUGGCUGGGCUAGCCUGGAAGGUCCAGAGGACCCCCCUCGGCAUUUCCCCCACGUGGCCUCUCUUUCCCCACGUGGUGGCUCACAUUCAGUCACUUAAGCUUCUUUAAACCCACUCCAGUGUUCUUGCCUGGAGAAUCCCAGAGACAGGGGAGCCUGGUGGGCUGCCAUCUAUGGGGUCGCACAGAGUCGGACACGACUGAAGCUACUUAGCAGCAGCAGCAGCAGCAGCAAAGCAUCAUGGUGGCUUCCCAGAGAGAACAGAAGCAGAAGCUGCUAGGUCUCCUAAAAGCCACUCCCAUCCCAAUGGCUGGAUCAAAGCAAGUCACAAGACCCGCCCAGAUUUCUGGGGAGGGAGACAGGCCCCACCCCCGAUGGGAGGUGCCUGUAGGGAGGAAUGGGUGGGGCCAUCUUUGGAGAUUCCGAGUCAGGCUGGUCUGAACUGGAGCCCAAGCUGAUGCCUUAGGAGACUGGGACCAACUAAAGUCUGCACCAGCCGCUGAGCGGUGGAGUGGGGCAGCGGGGACGGGUGAGUGGCCUCCAGUCUCGGGAAGGAAUUCCAGUGUUUGACUCUGCGGAACUCCACCCAGUAUUUAGAGUUUCCACCUGGAGCUGCAGGGCACAGGGGGAUGGGUGGUGCCCUCCUUCGCCCUCAGGGUUGGAGCUGUGGAAAGAAAAGGGAUUAGCUUUUUCAUCUUUCCGCCCUGCCCCUGUCACUUGCAGGCCCUGGAGGGCUGGCAGGACAUAUGGCCCUGCCAGUGGUAAAUUGAGCCGGGAGUCCUGCCAGGGAGGGCCAGAUGGAGCAGGAAGAAGACACAGAUCAACCCUGCGGCGACGGCUCCCGGGUGGCAUUGCAGCUCUGCGGGCCCAUUCCCCUGGCCUUGGAGCAUCCACGCUGGGCCCCCUCCCUUGCCCAGGCCACCUGGCAGAAUAGCCUCUUGCGGUCUGCAGGGCCGAGACAGCUGAAGGGGAAGGCGGAUGAUUCAGAGACCUGUAAGGGCCUCUCCAACAGUCACGAGUCUGUUCCCACCUUGCUCCUCUCCCCGCGUGGGGCUGAGCCUCCUGGCUGAGUGUGGAAACAAGUCAGCCUGGAGCUCUGACAUUGUGAUGGACAGAAGGCAGGGCAUUUUCCCCUCUGAUGCCUCAGCGUUUUUUCUGUGGCUGGCUGGAAGUGCCCGCCAGCCUGAUGCCACGUGGCAGUUCCACGGCCUCAGCGAUAGAAGUGGAUGUCAGCAAAUCGGAGAGCUGUUCCAGCUGUCUUCCUUGCCUUCAAGGUGAAGAUUUGACUUUCUGCCUCCAGGCAAAUUCCACAGGCUCUGUUUCUCAUCCUUAAGAAGCAGAAAUGGGGAGUUCCGCCUGCCAGAACUCCCCAGAUAGCUUUGCUGAUGUCAGGAGGAUCUGAGGAAUCCCAGGGAUGGGGGAGCCUGGUGGGCUUCCGUCUAUGGGGUUGCAUAGAGUCGGACACGACUGAAACGACAUAGCAGCAGCAGCAGCAGCAGCCUCACCAAAGGACCCACAGAGCAUCAG